CCGGCGACCGGCGCACGGGUGAGUAACACGUAUGCAACCUGGCCGUGACAGAUGGAUAACCGGGAGAAAUCCCGCCUAAUACAGCAUGACGCCGCGGGAGGACAUCCUCCCGCGGCCAAAGGGGCGACCCGGUCACGGAUGGGCAUGCGGCGCAUUAGGUAGUUGGUGGGGCAACGGCCCACCAAGCCGACGAUGCGUAGGGGUUCUGAGAGGAAGGUCCCCCACAUUGGAACUGAGACACGGUCCAAACUCCUACGGAAGGCAGCAG
rnacentral:rRNA from 1 species